rfam:Octopus bimaculoides Scaffold77322_contig_78, whole genome shotgun sequence.
AUAUUGGUGUUUCUCAACACCAAAUAACUAAUUUAAAAAAUGCAAAU